UGGGGAAUAUUGCGCAAUGGGCGAAAGCCUGACGCAGCAACGCCGCGUGAGUGAUGAAGGCCUUCGGGUCGUAAAGCUCUGUCGGAGGGAACGAAUGCUCCUGAAGUUAACAGCCUCAGGAGGUGACGGUACCCUCAAAGGAAGCACCGGCUAACUCUGUGCCAGCAGCCGCGGUAAUACAGAGGGUGCAAGCGUUGUUCGGAAUCAUUGGGCGUAAAGGGCGUGUAGGCGGUAUGUUAAGUCAUGUGUGAAAUCCCUCGGCUCAACCGGGGAACAGCAGGGCAUACUGCGGGUCUUGAGGCAGGUAGGGGUCGCGAGAACAGUAGGUGGAGCGGUGAAAUGCGUAGAUAUCUACUGGAAUGCCGAUGGUGAAGACGCGCGACUGGGCCUGUCCUGACGCUGAGGCACGAAAGCGUGGGGAGCAAACAGGAUUAGAUACCCCCGUAGUCCCUGAGCGGGCUGGCAAGGCGCAU
rnacentral:rRNA from 1 species